GAAAAAUAUGUUAAACUUUACAUGAACCAACACAACCUUACAAACUUUACAUGCCGUUCGAGGAGAGCCUAGCCGACAAAGACAAGUAUUUUAAACUGACCGCAUUAAUCCGUGGCAUUGGAGGAUCAUCUAUGUCAGACGCAAUUAAACGGGCGUGGACUAAAAUUUUUCUCUCAAAGUGAGAGCUGGAUGUAAUUGGGAAGGGAAAUUGCGUAAUGGAAUUCGCAAACACGGUCUCGACAAAUCGCCAAUUACUCGUGCAAUCUUCGAGGGCGUAAAAGGUGUUCCUCAAUUUAGGAACGCCAAACAGAGUGAGCUGGAAUGGGAAACAAAAGAAUUUAAUGAAAAGAUCCCCAGAACAAGUAAGAUCAGAAGAGGCAGCUGCACCUGGCAACGAUCAAAUUGAUGAACCACCAGCCGAAGGGGAGACAGUUCACGUUGAUCAACCGCCAAAUUGAA